rnacentral:rRNA from 1 species
AACGAACGCUGGCGGCGCGUCUUAAACAUGCAAGUCGAACGGCAGGAAGGGGCUUGCCCCUUCUGAGAGUGGCGGACUGGUGAGUAACACGUGGGUGACAUACCUUUUAGUUGGGGAUAGCUAUUAGAAAUAGUAGGUAAUACCGAAUGUGACCGUACCUGUUAGAGGGGUACGAGGAAAGGAGCUAAGGCUUCGCUAAAAGAAUGGCUCGCGGCCCAUUAUGCUCGUUGGUGAGGUAACGGCCCACCAAGGCGAUGAUGGGUAUCCGGCCUGAGAGGGUGAACGGACACAUUGGGACUGAGAUACGGCCCAGACUUCUACGGGAGGCAGCAGUUAAGAAUAUUCCGCAAUGGACGAAAGUCUGACGGAGCGACGCCGCGUGGAUGAAGAAUGCCGAAAGGUUGUAAAAUCCUUUUAAGCCUGAUGAAUAAGCACAGCAGGGAAUGAUGGUGCGGUGACCGUAGGGCUUGAAUAAGCACCGGCUAAUUACGUG